rnacentral:rRNA from 1 species
GUAAGGAAUAUUGGACAAUGGAGGCAACUCUGAUCCAGCCAUGCCGCGUGAAGGAAUAAGGCCCUAUGGGUUGUAAACUUCUUUUAGACGGGACAAAACCCCUUUACGUGUAAAGGGUUGAUGGUACUGUCAGAAUAAGCAUCGGCUAACUUCGUGCCAGCAGCCGCGGUAAUACGAAGGAUGCAAGCGUUAUCCGGAAUUAUUGGGUUUAAAGGGUGCGUAGGCGGACUAAUAAGUCAGUGGUGAAAGCCUGCAGCUUAACUGCAGAAUUGACAUGUAUACUGUUAGUCUUGAGUACAGUUGAGGUAGGCGCAAUGUGUCAUGUAGCGGUGAAAUGCUUAGAUAUGACACAGAACACCGAUUGCGAAGGCAGCUUGCUAAGCUGUAACUGACGCUGAGGCACGAAAGCGUGGGGAGCAAACA